GACGUAGGGUGCGAGCGUUGUCCGGAUUUAUUGGGCGUAAAGAGCUCGUAGGCGGCUCGUCGCGUCGACCGUGAAAACCCGCGGCUUAACUGCGGGCUUGCGGUUGAUACGGGCGGGCUAGAGUUCGGUAGGGGAGACUGGAAUUCCUGGUGUAGCGGUGAAAUGCGCAGAUAUCAGGAGGAACACCGGUGGCGAAGGCGGGUCUCUGGGCCGAUGCUGACGCUGAUGCGCGAAAGCGUGGGGAGCGAUCCGG
rnacentral:rRNA from 1 species